ACUGGCAGGGAUGAUCCAUACUUGCCCUCACUUAGACCAGAGGCCAUUGAUGAGGCGCUGUUUUCUGAGCCAGU
rnacentral:snoRNA from 14 species